rnacentral:rRNA from 1 species
CCUACGGGAGGCAGCAGUGGGGAAUAUUGCACAAUGGGGGAAACCCUGAUGCAGCGACGCCGCGUGAGUGAAGAAGGAAUUCGUUAUGUAAAGCUCUAUCAGCAGGGAAGAAAAUGACGGUACCUGAGUACGAAGCCCCGGCUAACUACGUGCCAGCAGCCGCGGUAAUACGUAGGGGGCAAGCGUUAUCCGGAUUUACUGGGUGUAAAGGGAGCGUAGACGGCAGUGCAAGUCUGGAGUGAAAGGCGGGGGCUCAACCCCCGGACUGCUCUGGAUACUGGACGGCUGGAGUGCAGGAGAGGUAAGUGGAAUUCCUAGUGUAGCGGUGAAAUGCGUAGAUAUUAGGAGGAACACCAGUGGCGAAGGCGGCUUACUGGAC